AGUAGCUGGGACCAUAUAAGCAUGCCAUCAGGCCCAACUAACUUAUUUUUGGUAGAGACAGGGUGUAUGUUGCCCAGGCUGGUCUCUGACUCCUGGGCUAGAGCGACUCCUCUUGCCUCAGCCUCCCAAAGUGCUGGGAUUACAGGUGCGAGCCACUGCACCUGGCCAAAAAGAUGAUUUUCUUUUUGAAAGUGUAUGGUGCCACUACCUGACUCACACUAAGGUGUGGUUUUAAUGGUCACUGCUUUUGCACCAUCAGUGCAAAAGUCAACACAGUGAAAAGGGCAGUAACUUCAGUGUAGGAAAAUACAUUUGACUCAUAGGCCCCUUGGAAAGACCCAGGACCCCGAGGGAUCCAUGGAGCAGACUUUGAAAACCAGUUUUAAUGUACAUAAACCAUUUAGAGCAGUGAUAGGGCACACACAUUUAUAUUUUUACUACCUUGUCGUGUUUUCCCCACUUUUCCUGCCCUUCAACACUUUCUCGGCCAUUUGCCUUUGGUCCCCACUUUUCUGGUGCUUUUAGAUGACCCCAUUCUGCCAAGACUGCCUGCAAGGAACACCUAGGUUGGAGAAACUUCUCCAUGCUUACAAAUUACUGAUUAGUCAGUUACUACCGUGUCACCUUCCUCUGGCCACACCCCCCAACCCUCAAUCUGUUGGAGCUGUUUCACCUAGAGAAAGAAAAUGAGAGUCAAGAAAUUCAGUCCAAUGUAACAGAGAGAUGGGCCUCUUAGCCCUCCCUGUGACAUUUGUGCCUCACAGCGGCUGCUUGCAGAGUUGACCCUCAUCUGAAUUCAACCAACCUCAGGUUGAGAACAUUCAGAGAAAAAAAUUGCAUCUGUACUGA
rnacentral:lncRNA from 1 species